rnacentral:tRNA from 1 species
UGCGGUGUCGUCCAAGGGUAGGACAAGAGACUUUGAAUCUCUUAAUGAUGGUUCGAAUCCAUCCACCGCAG